AGAGUUUGAUCAUGGCUCAGGAUGAACGCUAGCUACAGGCUCAACACAUGCAAGUCGAGGGGAAACGAUAUUGGAAGCUUGCUUCCGAUAGGCGUCGACCGGCGCACGGGUGAGUAACGCGUAUCCAACCUGCCCACCACUUGGGGAUAACCUUGCGAAAGUAAGACUAAUACCCAAUGAUAUCUCUAGAAGACAUCUGAAAGAGAUUAAAGAUUUAUCGGUGAUGGAUGGGGAUGCGUCUGAUUAGCUUGUUGGCGGGGUAACGGCCCACCAAGGCAACGAUCAGUAGGGGUUCUGAGAGGAAGGUCCCCCACAUUGGAACUGAGACACGGUCCAAACUCCUACGGGAGGCAGCAGUGAGGAAUAUUGGUCAAUGGACGAGAGUCUGAACCAGCCAAGCAGCGUGCAGGAAGACGGCCCUAUGGGUUGUAAACUGCUUUUAUAAGGGAAUAAAGUGAGAGUCGUGACUCUUUUUGCAUGUACCUUAUGAAUAAGGACCGGCUAAUUCCGUGCCAGCAGCCGCGGUAAUACGGAAGGUCCGGGCGUUAUCCGGAUUUAUUGGGUUUAAAGGGAGCGUAGGCCGGAGAUUAAGCGUGUUGUGAAAUGUAGACGCUCAACGUCUGCACUGCAGCGCGAACUGGUUUCCUUGAGUACGCACAAAGUGGGCGGAAUUCGUGGUGUAGCGGUGAAAUGCUUAGAUAUCACGAAGAACUCCGAUUGCGAAGGCAGCUCACUGGAGCGCAACUGACGCUGAAGCUCGUAAGUGCGGGUAUCGAACAGGAUUGGAUACCCUGGUAGUCCGCACGGUAAACGAUGGAUGCCCGCUGUUGGUCUGAAUAGGUCAGCGGCCAAGCGAAAGCAUUAAGCAUCCCACCUGGGGAGUACGCCGGCAACGGUGAAACUCAAAGGAAUUGACGGGGGCCCGCACAAGCGGAGGAACAUGUGGUUUAAUUCGAUGAUACGCGAAGAACCUUACCUAGACUUGACAUCUCCUGCAUUACCCUUAAUCGGGGAAGUUCCUUCGGGGACAGGAAGACAGGUGGUGCAUGGUUGUCGUCAGCUCGUGUCGUGAGAUGUUGGGUUAAGUCCCGCAACGAGCGCAACCCUUAUUGUUAGUUGCUACCAUUUAGUUGAGCACUCUAGCGAGACUGCCCGGGUUAACCGGGAGGAAGGUGGGGAUGACGUCAAAUCAUCAUGCCCCUUAUGUCUAGGGCUACACGCGUGCUACAAUGGCAAGUACAAAGAGACGCAAUACCGCGAGGUGGAGCAAAACUCAAAAACUUGUCUCAGUUCGGAUUGUAGGCUGAAACUCGCCUACAUGAAGCUGGAGUUGCUAGUAAUCGCGAAUCAGCAUGUCGCGGUGAAUACGUUCCCGGGCCUUGUACACACCGCCCGUCACACCAUGAGAGUUGGCAAUACCCAAAGUGCGUGAUCUAACUCGUAAGAGAGGAAGCGCCCUAAGGUAGGGUCAGCGAUUGGGGUGAAGUCGUAACAAGGUA
rnacentral:rRNA from 1 species